rnacentral:lncRNA from 1 species
GCAGCGGCCCCGGGCCCAGCCACCUCUUGCCGCAGGGUGCACUGGCUGCAGGACCUGUCCGACAGCCACCUCUCCAAGCUGCUCGACGCCAUGGAGGAGGUGCGUGCAUGGGGAGGGGGGGCGUGCGGGACGGGGUCCUCUGCCCAGCGCAGCCCCGAGCGCCCCAUCCAUGCCCGCAGUGCUCCUUCGCACCCGGCCACGUCAUCAUCCGCGAGGGGGACAAGGGGGAGAGCUUCUACAUCAUCCUGAAGGGCCAGGUGCGGGUGAGCCGGCGGGUGGACGGGCAGGAGAAGCUGCUGCGCGUGCUGGGCGCCGGCGAGCACUUCGGGGAGCUCUCGCUGCUGGAGAACAUCCGCCGGACAGCGACCUGCCAGGCGCAGGGACACGUCACCUGCAUCACGGUGGCCAAGGAGUGGGUGUCCCCGUGUCCUGCAGCCCAUCCCUGUUGGGGCAUGGCCGGGACCUGCCUGCCCCACUGACACCCCGCUCUGCCCACAGAGACUUCCUGGAGAUCAUCCCCUUCUGCCCCAGGCACGACUCAGACGCGUGAGUGUCCGUGCCCCUGCGGGGUCCCCACGUGGGUGCUGGCUGGGUGGGUGCUGGGCGCCCGGCAGGGACGGCAGCAGUGACGUGGCGCCAGCAGCGGGUCCUGGACUCUGCCCCGGGAGCACCGCCAGGCACAGGCACCGUCCUGCUCCCGCCGAGCCCCACGGCACGGCCCCGGCGCGUGCUCACCAUGGUGCCACGUGUGGCCCCAUGUGAGGUGUCCAGAA